rnacentral:rRNA from 1 species
UACGUAGGGUGCGAGCGUUAAUCGGAAUUACUGGGCGUAAAGCGUGCGCAGGCGGUUGUGCAAGACAGAUGUGAAAUCCCCGGGCUUAACCUGGGAAUUGCAUUUGUGACUGCACGGCUAGAGUGUGUCGAGAGGGGGGUAGAAUUCCACGUGUAGCAGUGAAAUGCGUAGAUAUGUGGAGGAAUACCGAAUGGCGAAGGCAGCCCUUGGACUAGGACUGACUGAC